rnacentral:rRNA from 1 species
AGCAGGUCCCAAGGGUUCGGCUGUUCGCCGAUUAAAGUGGUACGUGAGCUGGGUUUAGAACGUCGUGAGACAGUUCGGUCCCUAUCUGCCGUGGGUGUAGGAAAAUUGAGAGGAUCUGUCCCUAGUACGAGAGGACCGGGAUGGACAUACCUCUGGUGGACCGGUUGUCGCGCCAGCGGCACAGCCGGGUAGCUAUGUAUGGAAGGGAUAACCGCUGAAAGCAUCUAAGCGGGAAACCCACCUCAAAACCAGUUUUCCCUUGAGAGCCGUGGUAGACGACCACGUUGAUAGGCCAGGUGUGGAAGUGCGGCAACGCAUGUAGCUUACUGGUACUAAUCGCUCGAUUGGCUUGAUUACUCUCAUUU